rnacentral:lncRNA from 1 species
AGCGUCUCAUGUAAUUUUUAUUUAUUAGAUAAGUGCAAUAAUCACCGGAUGAAAAGAGGCACAGAUGACCCUGUCCAGGAGCAAAGUGGUGGCAGGACUGGACCCAUGCCAGGUCCCAGCCAGUCCGUUCCUCACUCAGGCACAGCCUAUGGGGAACACUGCUCCCUGCCCUCUCCCACCCAAAUCAACACACCUUCAAAGGAACAGAACACUUCUGCGCCUGGCAAGGCUCCCUUUCCUCUGCCUCCUCCUUCACAGAGACUUUGGGAUUGUCCUCUGAUGACAGAGUGCCCUGCCUCCUGAUGGAGUGACG